rnacentral:rRNA from 1 species
CCUACGGGGGGCAGCAGUGAGGAAUAUUGGUCAAUGGGCGGGAGCCUGAACCAGCCAAGCCGCGUGAGGGAAGAAGGUACAGCGUAUCGUAAACCUCUUUUGUCAGGGAACAAAGGCGGGGACUAGUCCCCGGAUGAGGGUACCUGAAGAAAAAGCAUCAGCUAACUCCGUGCCAGCAGCCGCGGUAAUACGGGGGAUGCGAGCGUUAUCCGGAUUUAUGGGGUUUAAGGGGUGCGCAGGGGGCCUGUUAAGUCAGCGGUAAAAGCCCGGGGCUCAACCCCGGCGAGCCGUUGAAACUGGCGGGCUGGAGUUGGGGAGAAGUACGCAGAAUGCGCGGUGUAGCGGUGAAAUGCUUAGAUAUCGCGCAGAACCCCGAUUGCGAAGGCAGCGUACCGGCUCCACACUGACGCUGAGGCACGAAAGCGUGGGUAUCGAACAGGAUUAGAUACCCUAGUAGUC